GACGAACGCUGGCGGCGUGCUUAACACAUGCAAGUCGAACGGAAAGGCCCUGCUUUUGUUGGGUGCUCGAGUGGCGAACGGGUGAGUAACACGCGAGUAACCUGCCCUUGACUUUGGGAUAACUUCAGGAAACUGGGGCUCAUACCGGAUAGGAGCUCCUGCUGCAUGGUGUGGGUUGGAAAGUUUCGGCGGUUGGGGAUGGACUCGCGGCUUAUCAGCUUGAUGGUGGGGUAGUGGCUUACCAAGGCUUUGACGGGUAGCCGGCAUGAGAGGGUGACCGGCCACAUUGGGACUGAGAUACGGCCCAGACUCCUACGGGAGGCAGCAGUGGGGAAUAUUGCACAAUGGGCGGAAGCCUGAGGCAGCAACGCCGCGUGCGGGAUGACGGCCUUCGGGUUGUAAACCGCUUUCUCCUGUGACGAAGCGUGAGUGACGGUAAUGGGUAAAGAAGCAACGGCUAACUACGUG
rnacentral:rRNA from 1 species